UGGGGAAUAUUGGACAAUGGGCGCAAGCCUGAUCCAGCCAUGCCGCGUGAGUGAUGAAGGCCCUAGGGUUGUAAAGCUCUUUUGUGCGGGAAGAUAAUGACGGUACCGCAAGAAUAAGCCCCGGCUAACUUCGUGCCAGCAGCCGCGGUAAUACGAAGGGGGCUAGCGUUGCUCGGAAUCACUGGGCGUAAAGGGUGCGUAGGCGGGUCUUUAAGUCAGGGGUGAAAUCCUGGAGCUCAACUCCAGAACUGCCUUUGAUACUGAGGAUCUUGAGUUCGGGAGAGGUGAGUGGAACUGCGAGUGUAGAGGUGAAAUUCGUAGAUAUUGGGAGGAACACCCGUGGCGAAGGCGACUCUCUGGACCAAUACUGACGCUGAGGCGCGAAAGCGUGGGGAGCAAACAGGAUUAGAUACCCUGGCAGUCCACGCUGUAAACGAUGAGCACUAGGUGUAGCGGGUAUUGACCCCUGCUGUGCCGUAGCUAACGCAUUAAGUGCUCCGCCUGGGGAGUACGGCCGCAAGGCUA
rnacentral:rRNA from 1 species